UAUGUACUCCCUCUGUUCCGAAUUAUUUGUCUUAGAUUUGUCUGGAUACGAAGGUAUCUAGCACUAAAAUAAGUCUAGAUACAUCCGUAUCUAGACAAAUUCGAGACAAGUAAUUCGGAACGGAUGGAGUAAUAA
rfam:Triticum aestivum genome assembly, contig: Triticum_aestivum_CS42_TGACv1_scaffold_213498_3AS